GGCGGAUGUAGCCAAGUGAAUAAAGGCAGU
rnacentral:tRNA from 1 species